AGUACAGCUGUUACGUAUUAUGCAGAAAAGUUUUUUAGAAUAAACUUUUCAAGUAAAAAUAUAUUUAGAGCUAUUAAAAGUCGUUGCAGAGAAACAAACUAUUAAUUUAGAAAGAAUUAUUUUUAAUUCAUCAGGAUCCACAUCACCAAUACCCAUUAAAGUUAUGAUUGGCCAGCAUCCUUAAAAAAUUAGUAAGUCUUUUGAAAUGGAUCAAGAAUUAGGGAAUCUAAGAAAACAGCUUAUCUACAUGCGGCCGUGCUAAUCGUUAAAAAGGAUUAAAAGAGAAACAAAAGUGUUUUAACCAGUAAUUACUUUUGAUUAAAAAUGACUUUAAUUUAUUGUGUGGAGUUGUCUCCCUGAUGCCGUUAAAUAGACUUGGACGUUUAAUUUUUCCUUAAUCGUUAGACAGAGUAAGAGAGAAAAAAAUUGUUAGAGAGUAAUUACUUCAAUUAAUAAUAAAUAAUUAAAUAACCUAACCUGAUUCGUUCCAAUUAUUACGGUAAUUUGAUAACUUCUUGAAGUUGGCCUGAAUUAGUUAAUUAUUUAAUAUUAGCUGCUUUCCAUUCACAUCAAAACUCAGAUUAUUCUCACUUCUGACGUCAUAACUCAGUUCAAUGCACGUUCCUUUCCAGUCUCACAUCUAACUGAGUUUUACAGCAAUGUGCAUAAGCUUCAGACCGUGUGCUUUAAUAGUUUUGUUAACUCAGAUUGAAAGUAAGAUUGAGGGCAUCACGUUGUCAGGGUCUUAUCAUCAAAAUAAGCAAGAAAGUACAUAAUACUGAAAAAUUACAAAUAUUCAUUGAUGUAAAUAAUCUUAUAAAUAAUAUUAUUUUAUUUAUGUCCUUUCUUUCGCUGCCAAUAAGUCGAUUGGAUCAUCAAUGAUAAUGGUGAAUUUUAUGUGGUUAUUGAGAAUAUUAAAUCUCAUUACGCGUUCAUUUAUUCACUGAGCAGUGACGUCAUUAUCUGAGUAUAAGAUAGUUACAUAACUGAGUCUCAGUUCACUUAAAUGUCGAUGGAAGGCAGCUAUUAAUUGAAAUAAAUUUUUUCCCUCUUACUCUCUCUAAAGAGUGGAAAAAGUUACUUUACUCACGAGUUUCAUACAAAAAUUUUUCUAUGUCCGUAGACUUAAAAAAAUUCGACAAAACUUUUAUCAAUUUUUAUUUUGGAAUAGUAAUAUUAAAAGUACAACUGUGAGCAUUAUUAAUUUUAAGUGAAGAAGUUACAUUACUAUUGGUAAUUGAAUUUGCAGCAUUUAACGACUUCAAAGAAAUAACAUCGUCUAUAGUUGUAUUAGUACUUAUUGGAUUGUUGGUUGGAUCGUGAACGUUUAUAAUAUUGCUUGAAGUCGAAUUAGUUGUUCCUAUUAAAAUUUUCACUGUGGAAUCCAUUUCUUUUUUUAUUGAGUCGUCUACGUAACCCUACGCAACUGUGUUGGAUUUCCACCCACCGUACUUCUUUAGUUGAAUUAUAUCACCACCGGAAUCCACUAAUAGAGACGCCGAAAAGCGUCGAAAUGUGUAGUUUUUUUGAAUAAGGUAAAUUCAAAUAUGUUGCUAUAAGCGAGGGAAUUUUUGAAAAGAUAUUGAUACCUACAACUUGGGUUUUGCAUUUUCCAUUUCUAUACUGCAAAAAGAAAUGAUUUGUUUUGACAUUUGUGUCUGUAGCUUGUAACAGAAACUUAUGAAUUUAUUCACGGGCAAAUGUUAUAGAUUUUUUGGGUCUAUAGCCAACUGAUUUAUUUUUCAAAUAUGCAAUAAGUUUCGAGUAUUCACUGAUGUCUACGUCGUUAAUUACCUUUCAGCUUUUAAUAAGUCGACCAAAGUGUUGGAGACCACAUUUUGGAUUUAGUUUCGAAGUAAGCUAGUAACAGUCUUUCUUUGAAGCUGUUUAUGCCUUUUUUAGUACGCCAAUUCAUAAAAGAAUUAUAUUCCUUUAAAUACUGUUCCCUAGAUUUCUCAGGGAGUAGAUUCAUAGUCGCUGCAGUUGCCGACUCAACAUCUUCUGGUAUGCAGUUUAAACAUUCCUCAGUAUUACUUUUCAUCACUAAUAAUAAUACACUUAUUUUAAUUAGACAGAAAACGGAUUUUCUUGAACGAAUAUCAAGAAAUAAAAGUGUGACUGUUUAUCGGAAUCCAAUAAACACUAUUUUCAGAUA